rnacentral:rRNA from 1 species
UAGUAGUAAAUAGAAAUGUUUAAUUAAACUUAACUAAAGGAACUCGGCAAAACAAAGCCUCGCCUGUUUAGCAAAAACAUCACUGGGAGAAAUUUAACUCUCAGCAAUGCCUGCCCAGUGCGGUUAGAUAGUCGUAAACGGCCGCCCUAGCGUGAGGGUGCUAAGGUAGCGAAAUUCCUUGCCUUUUAAUUGUAGGCCUGCAUGAAUGGUUUGACGAGGGCUUAACUGUCUCUAGUUUUUAUAUCAAAAUUGGAUUAAAGGUGAAGAUACCUUUAUAAAAAAGUCAGACAAGAAGACCCCGUGCAACUUUUAAAGUCAGUUUAUUAAGAAGUACAAGAUUUUUUAGGUGGGGCGCCUAUUGAGUAAAACUAACCUCUAUGUAUAAAUAAAACUAUCUAGUGUAGACCCGGCAAUGCCGAUCAUAGGAGAAGUUACGCCGGGGAUAACAGGCUAAUCCAUUAGUAGAGAACGUAUUGGCUAAUGGGAUUGGCACCUCGAUGUUGAAUCAGGGAUGAUACCUUUAAGGCGUAGAAGCUUUAAAAGUGGGUCUGUUCGACCUUUAAUACCCUACGUGAUUUGAGUUCAGACCGGCGUAAGCCAGGUCGGUUUCUAUCUUCUUUUUGAAAAUUCUUUUGGCAUGUACGAAAGGACCGUUAAAAGAGGAAAUUUCCUUAUUGAAGAAAAAUAUUUAAGCAAAAUUAAAUACAAUCUAAAGUAAUACAGAUUUAC